rfam:Trachymyrmex septentrionalis contig12946, whole genome shotgun sequence.
GUCUCGGUAGUCUAAAGGCUUAAGACGCUCGCACGGAAUGCAAGAGAUCUAGGUUCGACUCCCGACCGAGGCA